ACAAUCUCGUCUGUUAGUUCCUUCUCAUUUCUGUGUCUCUCUUCCCUCUUAGCUUUUAGAUUUUAUCUUCAACCUCCUUCACAAUAUUCUCAUACAUAUCCUGAGCCCUUUCAACCCAAACCCCUUCCUCCACUCUUAUUUCUAAUCACAUCCGAAAUGCAAAAAAAAAAAAAAUCUUCGGCGCAUCUGAAUUAUACCCAGUUGGAGUUGUGGAAUCCGAGCUGAAAAAGCCGCCUCCAGUCUCUUCGGCGCUUGCCUCACCUCGGAGGAUAACAGAAUCACGUAUGGCAUUAACUCAAUCAUCAACUUACUUACUUGUUGGUGUGGUUUGAAAGCACCACUAAAGAUGUCACACACCAACAGAAAUCCCGUAAAGAAAUUUUUUUCCUGCCCGAAUUAUAACAAGAGAGAUGCGAGAUGUGAAUUUUUUGGAUUGGGCCAAUAUACUUAAAUUGAUAUAGGAGAACAUUCAAAGAAGAGAGAAUGCAGUUCCGAAGAAGGAGGAGGACUAUGGAGGAUAGAAAUGCGUGAAUAUUAUUGUAUUUGUAUUGGAUUGUAUCAAUUGUAAUAGUUUCUGCCUGGUUCAGAUAAACUAUAAGGCACAUGUAAAUAGGUGGAUAUUUUUUUUAUUUUUCUUGGAUGAAUAAAUUGUAAUGGCACUAUGGAGGUAAUGAAAAGUCUGCUGUUUUUUGUC